UCGCGCACAAUAUCAUAUCGGGUCAGAAUCACCCCAUUGGCCUCCACCUGCCAACCUUGGAAAGAAAUUCAAGACCUCGUGCAAAAUGAACAAAACUCAUCCAGAACGAUGUCCACAGGCCCCUGAUGGCUCCCCAGGCCUCACUGAAGCAGGGAAGGGCAGAGUGAGGCACUGUGGGCAAGAGAAGAGCCCUGCCCUUAUGGAGAGCAGCUGGCCAGACAGACAUUAAACACAUGAUAAUACACAGAAACAUGUGAUUACAGGGAGUGAAGAAUGCAACAAAGAAAUAAUACUUUGAAAUAUCGCCUUCUCUUUCUGGACUUCUUUGGAAUACAGCCAGUCAGAGCAUAGCUCUAAGACCAAGAGUAAGCAAUGCCUUUUGAAAUAUUCUGUUUGAAAUCAGAGCCCUUCCCCACUGCAGUCAAUUGCGGGCACAAAUAUUCCUUUUGUUCACAGACCACAUCCUGUGUUCCCCAGGGCCUCACCCUGAGCUGAUCCCAGGAUGACCUAGAAGAGGCAUGUUUUACUGAAAUCGUUUCUAAAACUUACACUAAAGCUACAAUAUCUGAACGCAUGGUAAGGACACACAUUUUCAAGUUUCUCUUUGGGUCACAGGUGUGCUGCUUUCUACAUCAAUUUGUCAGGAAGACAAAUCUUUUAGUGUCGGGAAGAAAAGCAGCAAGAUGAAAAAGAAAAAAAAAAGAAGAUAUUUCAAGAUCAGAUUCUUCAUCCUACUUUUCUGACUUGCCAGAAGCUAACGACAUCUUUCCUAGCAGUGACUGGCAACCACUCUGAAAACUUCACCAAAUUAUUACUCCUUUAUUUUUUUGAAAAAACAGGCAAGUGUAUUUAGUUGUCAUUGGUUACAACCAAAUUUCUCUAAAUAUUUCAGUGCAUCUCAAAAUACUAUAUUGAUAAGUUCAAGUCAUAAAAAACUGCAUUAGGAGUUUUGGAAAAUUUACUGGUAGGAUUAUGCAUGUUUUUCUUCCAUUUGAGUUCUCCUCUGAAUGCAUGUUUAUUUAAAGAAAAAUUGUGGUAUUUGGAAGAUUGAAGACUGACUUCUAAACUGUGCUGACUUCAGGAAGACCUACUUUUGGCCAGGCACAGAGGCUCAUGCCUGUAAUCCCAGCACCUUGGGAGGCUGAGGAGGGAGGAUUGCUUGAGCCCAGGAGUUCAAGACAAGCCUAGGUAACACAGCAAGAAAAAUGUUGAAAUUAGCUGAGUAUGGUGGGUCAUGCCUGUAGUCGCAGCUACUUGGAAAGCUGAGACAGGAGAAUGGCUUGAACCAGAGAGGUGGAGGCUGCAGUGAGCUAUGAUCAUGCCCCUGCACUCCAGACUGGGUAACAGAGUGAGACCCCAUCUCCAAAAAAAAAGAAGACCUGCUUUUUUCUCCUUCUAUCCAGUCCCAUCGAAUUAACUGUUCUUGGAAAGGAGGGCACAUCCCAAACUGGGGGGUCACAAGGUGAUUUGUGAGGUACACGUAGCAUCAAAACCACAGAUACACACGCUGACAGAGCUAUUCCUUUUUAGUCCUUUGCUUGGCCCAGGAGAGUCCCCAGUGGGGACUAGUCAAUUUUCAGCACCUCCCCAGUGCUGCCACCACCCUUUUUAAUAGAGAGAGUGAGCAGCUACAGCACCAAACUGGAAUUUCGUAACAUCAGCUUUCAUUAUUUUUAUGACCAUUGCCUUCCACAUAGGUCAAAUGGCACUGGUUUUUCACUUAUGGUCAUGACUUGAAGCUUCCUUUUUAAAAUAACUGUAUGUUUUCAAAAGUGUGUAAAUGUAAAAGAAAGGAUUAAGUAAAUAAUGGCACGAUAUGGCAGGUGAGAUGCAAAUGGCAGGUUUGGGGAAAAGGGCAAUCGAUAAAAAUAAAGGCAGCUUGGCUCUCCCGCUCUCCCAGCGCUGCAGCUCAGAGGAAAACUAAAAUUAAUUCCUUUUGCAGCAUGACGGGGAAAAAAAGCAUCCAGAAGGAAAUUCAUCAAACCAUUAAAAGUGAUCUCCCCCAGGGAAGGGGCUUGCAGGCAGGGGGAACACAUUCACAUUUCGCUUUAAACACAUCUGGAUUAUUUGAAUUUUUGUAUUGCAUAGAAGUUAACCCUUUGUCUGACUUCUUGGUUAUAAAUGUUUUUCUUGGAAUGCCUUUUGUUUAUUGCCUUUGUGAUCUCUUGGGCAGGCAAAACUUCUCAACUUCAUAAAAUAAAAUAAAAAAUCCAUCUUUUCUUUA